rnacentral:lncRNA from 1 species
GGCAUCUUUGGAAAGAUUGUAAGUCUAGUCUGGGGGAUGGUCAGCUGUGAUCCAGAAAACACUUCUUGCUGGCAGAGCCAGAUGGCAGGCAGGCAGGCACUCUGAACUUCGUGUUGGAAGUUGCUUAUGGGAAAGCUUGCACUGGAUCCUCCAACUGAAAUGAAUGUUCUGGAAAAGACAUCUGCAGAGUGAAGAAGUGGGUUUGGAGUCCAGCUGUCCCCGAGUUUAAGGAUGUUUUGAAGAAACGUGAGAGUUGAAAAUUGAAUCUGAAAUCGUAACCCGGGAGAGGCCUUACUGUGCAGCUGCACCUUUAAGGACAUGGUCAUGAAUUUAUGUGAGAAUCAUUCAUCAGAAGAGAUUCAAAUCUUGUCACUGUUUCUUCCUGGUCACCUACCUGUACCUCAUCCCCAGCACCCACCAGACCAGGUGAGCCACCCAAGCUGGAAGCCUGGGAGCACCUUCUGUCUUUGCAUUGCUAAAUUUCCUCAGGUUUCCUUAGACCUGAAGGUGAGCUGGAUCCUGUUGCUCUGGGACCUUGAUUGUUCUCCUUCCUAGAAUAUGCACACAGCUGCUCCUUCUCCCUGUGAGUGCUCCGACUACAGACUGUAGUCCUCCCUAGAAUAUACCCACAGCUGCUCCUUCUCCCUGUGAGUGCUCUGACUACAGACUGUAGUCCUCCCUAGAAUAUGCCCACAGCUGCUCCUUCUCCCUGUGAGUGCUCUGACUACAGACUGUAGUCCUCCCUAGAAUAUACCCACAGCUGCUCCUUCUCCCUGUGAGUGCUCUGACUACAGACUGUAGUCCUCCCUAGAAUAUGCCCACAGCUGCUCCUUCUCC